CAGAAAACAAAAUCUCCCCCUUCUUCUCCUCCUGAAGCUUCUCUUAGCCCUGUUUACGUCAAUCAAUUUUCAUGCCUUAAUGCACCUAAAUCCAAGCCUCUGAUCGAAAAACGUUCUUCAUCAAAGUUUUUCAUCAUCAUCUCUUCUAUAACAUAUCCAAAAAUUAGUACGAUCAGAUCUGUAAUGAAGUCUGUACAUCGAUCUGAGUAGAAGUUCGUCAGAAAUCAGAAGAUUUCGAGUUUCAGCUUUUCUUUAUCCUCUUUCCUAUCAGGAUUCCUCAAAUUCCUUUGGAAUUAAUUCCAUUAAGAGUGGCAUUCCUUGAUAUAAGACUGGGCUUGGCCAAAUUCAUCUUGUCUCCAUCUUUUCCUGUCGAAUUUCAUGAGGGAACUCACCCAUACGUUUGAUUCAGUGGGCCUCCUAUCACUCAAAGAAGAUCAGUGACGAUGGCAUUGCAUUGAUUAUUCACCCAACAUCGCUUAGCUUUGGACUCCAGGUAGGGAGGCUCACCCUAGUUAGCAGUUUUUCUGAAUUCUUUUAUUGUCUGCAAUUGUUUUAUAAAAUUUUCUUGCUUGAGUUUAUGAGGAUGACUUGAGAGUGAGCCGGGCAUAGCGACUUCCUUGGGUUUCGAUCCCCUAAACCUCUGGAGGGGCUGUAUGGACAGGAUAGUGUCUGACAUCCUUUGAGGUGUGACACUAGUUCUAGGUGGUAUGGCAUAAAUGGACACUCUUGCUCCUCCUCAUCAGUUGUUGAAGAUUUAAUUCUUCGGUGAGGAUGUAGUUGGCUAUUAUAUAGACCGGUCAUCAGGUUUGGUUUAUACCCGGGUACUUAUGCUUUUGCAUAUAAUUUUACAUUUCGAAAUCUUUUAAUGAUUUUGAAAUGUUUUUACUCAACCGACCGGCCCACUACUAUUUGGAUUUACAUAAUUUCAAACCUAGCUAGGGUUGAUGUACUGAGCAGCGAGGACGAAAGCUCACCUUUACUUUAGUUUCUCUUGUAGGUACUGUACACGAAGUACGAGGAUGAUUCGGGACUGAGCUGGGUGUUAUGUUCUUUUAAAUUCCAGACCUGUUGGGAAUGAGUUGAGAAAUCUUAGCUUGCAUCCCUAUGGAUACGCGGCACUGUGACGCUACUAAUUUGGUGAGGUGCAAAUUGGGGCGUUACACAUCUUGUUGGGCAAAGGAGUGGUCGGAUCUUUCAAAUCUUCCUCCUUUAGUUGAAUUCAAAUUGAACAUGUUGUUGUUCCUUACUGCCAUGGCUGCUGCACUAGAGCUAGAUUCGGCUGAAUUAUAUGAAUCAGUGAGAAGUAGUUGUUUCUCUACUUAAGAGACUGCAACGUAUGCUUGGUGGACAGUUGGAAGGGGAUUUAUCAAGAGGAUUUACUUUGAGUUGCACUGUAAGUCUCAUUUAAACCCAUUAAGAAUUGCAUCAGUGUUGUUGAUCUGUUUGUGCUCCAUGUGCUACAUCUAAGUAUGUGGCCAAUUCAUCCCAUAAACUCUUCAAUCUUGGGUAGUAGGUAGAGACUGAUAGUUGUUCUUGCCGAAGAGAAGCGAUAUCUCGCUGAAUCUCAAAGAUACGAGGUGAUUGCCUUGUGAGAAUCGCUCACGAAGAUCUUCCUACACUUUAUGAGUAGUAGGAUAAUAGAUAAUAAUGUCAAUGUUAAUGUUUAAAGUUCAGUGGUAGCUAAACCUUUACUAACGCUGGUUCAAUGGGCGGACCGCUA